GAAAGUGUGUGUUUCUCCUCCAUCUUCUCUUCCGUCCGGAGGCGAUUUUGCAGGCUUGUUUCCCGUUCCUUCUCUACCGCGUUUGGGCUUGCGGUCCUUUUGCACUUUUCUGCUCUACGGCAGGACUAGCAGCAUCCUGUUGACCUGGCCGACUACUGACAGAUCAGAUCAGAUCAGCCUCAGGCUCCUCAGACGGACGGCGUUGUCUUCUUCCCCACCCCGCAGCCUUUUUUGCUUGCAGCUUACUAGUAUAAUUAUUAUGGCGUCCUCUGUCUCUGCGUGACCGUGUCCCUGUUGGCCUGUUCUCCCCACCCCCAAACGAAUCCUCCUCCCCCACGGAAACAGAGAGAGGACGACGAUUCUUCUUAAUGAUCCUACUAGUUAAGAGCACUCAAAUCCUCCACAUGUAGACGAGGGACGGUGAAGACAUAAUAGUAGAACCUGCCCCACCUGCCUCCGUCGUCAAGUCGAAGGAGACGAGCCGCGCCGCUCCUGCUACUCCCACUCUCCCCAGCCCCCACUGCCUGUGCCUCUGUCUGCAACAGCAACCCACAUCCACCUCCUCCUCCUCUGGUCCUCUCCCCUCCCGCGCUCCCGCACUCCUCUGUGCUGUUCUGUGACCACCCGGGCAUUAACUGCCCGCAUUGGUGGUUUCCUGGGGCGGGGUGGUUGGAUUAGGUCGCUUUGCUGCUGCCCGCCCGAAAGCAGGGUUGCAAAGCCCACCUCCGCCCUUUCGGGCAGAAAGAGCCAGAGAGAGAGAGAGAGAGGUCGGGGCCGGGGAGCACACACCCAUCACCCAUGGCCUGACUGACCUCCGGACUCUCCCUGCUUCCGUCCACGCCGCGGGCCGCCCAGCUGACUGCUCCUGCCCUCCGCCAUGGCGUCCGUCAAGCUCGGCUCCAAGCCUGACGCCUUCAAGCGGCAAGGCCAGGCAUGGUUCUGCACAACAGGACUUCCUAGCGAUGUCACCGUUGAGGUUGGGGAUAUGUCUUUCCACCUUCACAAGUUCCCUUUACUUUCAAAAAGCGCCUUUCUUGAACGGUCAAUUGAAGAAAACUCUGACCAAGAAGAAUGCAUCAUCAAACUAAAUGACAUUCCUGGGGGUGCCAAGUCAUUUGAGCUAGUUGCAAGGUUCUGCUAUGGUGUGAAAAUAGAGCUUUCACCUGCAAAUGUUGUCUACCUACGGUGUGCCUCAGAGCAUCUAGAAAUGACUGAAGAAGUAGCUGAGGAAAACCUGAUUGCACAGUCAGAAAUGUUCCUCAACCAAGUGGUUCUCCGUAACUGGAAAGAUUCCUUGGCAGCAUUGGAAACAUGUGAUGACCUACUCCCCCAUGCUGAAGACCUCCAGAUUGUGAACAGAUGCAUCGAGUCAUUGGCAUCAAAAGCUACUAGUAAUCCAAACCUCUUCGGAUGGCCGAUAAGGGAACAUGGCAUGAUGCAAAGUCCUGGUGGCAGUGUACUAUGGAAUGGGAUCAGCACGGGUGCAAGGCCCAGAAAUUUCAAUUCAGACUGGUGGUAUGGUGAUGCUUCAUCAUUGAGUUUUCCCAUGUAUAAGAGGUUAAUCUCCACCAUGGAGUCUCGAGGCAUCCGGCCUGAAAUAAUUGCUGGUUCCUUAACCUACUAUGCCAAGAAGUAUCUUCCAGGACUUAGGCGUCAUAGUCAUAGCAUGGGCACAAUGCCUCUUACUGCUACUCUAUCUGAGGUUGAACAAAAAAAAUUACUUGAGGAGAUCGACAGGCUUUUGCCUCUUCACAGGGGUAUAGCAUCGACAAAAGUUCUGCUUGGGCUCCUUCGCACUGCCAUGAUUCUGAAAGCCAGCCCCACGUGCAUUUCUAACUUGGAGAAACGAAUUGGCAUGCAACUAGACCAGGCCACUUUGGAGGAUCUGCUGCUGCCAAAUUUCUCCUACACAAUGGAAACACUGUACAAUGUGGAGUGUGUGCACAGGAUUCUUGAUCAUUUCUUGGCAAUGGACCAAGCAAAUGGUGGCGAGUCCCCAUGCUUGGAUGAUGUCAUGGCAUCCCCAUCCUUGACACCGAUCACAAGUGUUGCCAAGCUAAUUGACGGCUAUCUUGCAGAAAUUGCACCAGAUAUCAAUUUGAAGCCUCCAAAGUUCCAAGCUCUGGCCUCUGCUAUUCCUGAAUAUGCCCGGCCACUGGAUGAUGGCCUUUAUCGUGCCAUUGAUAUAUACUUGAAGGCUCAUUCCUGGCUGUCAGAAGCUGAAAGGGAGCAGUUCUGCCGGCUGUUGGACUGCCAGAAGCUCUCCCUGGAAGCAUGCACCCACGCCGCCCAGAACGAGAGGCUGCCGUUGCGCGUGGUGGUGCAAGUCCUCUUCUUCGAGCAACUCCAGCUAAGAACCUCGAUCGCAGGGUGCCUGCUGGUCUCGGACAACCUCGAAGGCUCCAGGCCUCUGCGGAGCGGCAUUGCCACAUCCGGCGAGGCUGGAGGCUGGGCCACGGCUGUCCGAGAGAACCAGGUCCUGAAGGUCGGCAUGGACAACAUGCGGACGCGGCUGGCCGAGCUGGAGAAGGAGUGCUCGAGCAUGCGGCAGGAGAUCGAGAAGCUGGGCGGGCGCGCUGGUAAGGGCGGCGGUGGCGGGUGGGCCUCCCGCGUCGUGCCCCGGCGACUGGGCCUGAAGGUGAGGUCGCAGAUGUGCAGCGCCCAGGAGGGCUCCGUCAGUGAGCAGCACAGGAGCAUGAGCGCCAAGCUCGACAAGCUGCAGGCUAAGGUGUCGAAGCAGAAGAAGCAGCUGGCCGCGGAUGCCUGAAGUUGAGGUUUCGAGACUCCGGCUUCAUGGCCUGACCUUGUAAUUUUAGCCCGGUAUCAAUUGUUUUUGCCUCUCUUUUGUUGCCUGUGUAGCUGUUAGGCGAAACGACCGAGUGCAGUGUGUCGGUUCGUUCUUGAACCGUGGAUGGUACCAAGAAGAAUGGGAGUGUCCUAGCUAAGAACACGAACCUGAUGUGAUCAGUUAAUAGUUUGUUACCGGACUAAACUAGGAGUGCUGCUUGACUGCUAGUGGUGGAAGACGGCGGCACACCGCUAUCACUUGGAGUGAGGGUUUUGCUCCUACUGUCGUCUUGCUUGGUUAUAACUUAUAAAUAUAAACGUCGGUUCAGAUUCGAGUCGGGUAAAAGUCGGGUUCUUGUUCGUUUGGCAUGACCCAUAUCCGACUCGUAUCGGAUCAGAUUUAUUCGUGUUUUUUUGUCGGAUUUUUUUAGGUUAGAUCGUUUUUUUCUUUGCGUUGGGUUUUAGGUUAAAAGUUAUAAUCCGUACGUCCCCCUAUAUUGUUGUGGGUCGGACCACCCAUGCUCAUGUUUACUUGGUUUGGUUAUAUGGUCUUAUUUGUUUCGGACCUGGGGUAGGCAUUCAUAUCAGAUGUACGACUUCAUAUGACUAUUUUAUAUGCUCAGCGUGUCCCAGACAUCUGAUUUUAAAUGACUAUCGGAUCAGUGUA